GUUGGUGGAGUGAUUUGUCUGGUUAAUUCCGUUAACGAGCGAGACCAAUACUUACUAAAUAAAUCGCAGAACCGUCUGAUAUGCUAUGAGGCGCUACCGGCGAAUGUGGCUUAACGGCCGCUUCCUGGUCGCGUGGAUUAGUUGACGAGUUGUGUGCUAUUUUCUUAGGAGGACUGCUGCCUUCAAGGCAGAGGAAGUUAUUGGCAAUAACAGG
rnacentral:rRNA from 1 species